rnacentral:rRNA from 1 species
UACGGAGGGAGCUAGCGUUGUUCGGAAGUACUGGGCGUAAAGCGCACGUAGGCGGCGCAGCAAGUCAGGGGUGAAAUCCCGGGGCUCAACCCCGGAACUGCCCUUGAAACUGCAGUGCUAGAAUCUUGGAGAGGCGAGUGGAAUUCCGAGUGUAGAGGUGAAAUUCGUAGAUAUUCGGAAGAACACCAGUGGCGAAGGCGACUCGCUGGACAAGUAUUGACGCUGAGGUGCGGAAGCGUGGGGAGCAAACAGG